GAUGAACGCUGGCGGCGUGCCUAAUACAUGCAAGUCGAGCGAACAGACGAGGAGCUUGCUCCUCUGACGUUAGCGGCGGACGGGUGAGUAACACGUGGAUAACCUACCUAUAAGACUGGGAUAACUUCGGGAAACCGGAGCUAAUACCGGAUAACAUGUUGAACCGCAUGGUUCAACAGUGAAAGACGGUUUUGCUGUCACUUAUAGAUGGAUCCGCGUCGCAUUAGCUAGUUGGUAAGGUAACGGCUUACCAAGGCAAUGAUGCGUAGCCGACCUGAGAGGGUGAUCGGCCACACUGGAACUGAGACACGGUCCAGACUCCUACGGGAGGCAGCAGUAGGGAAUCUUCCGCAAUGGGCGAAAGCCUGACGGAGCAACGCCGCGUGAGUGAAGAAGGUCUUCGGAUCGUAAAACUCUGUUAUUAGGGAAGAACAAAUGUGUAAGUAACUAUGCACGUCUUGACGGUACCUAAUCAGAAAGCCACGGCUAACUACGUG
rnacentral:rRNA from 1 species